GACGAACGCUGGCGGCGUGCCUAAUACAUGCAAGUAGAACGCUGAAGGAGGAGCUUGCUUCUCUGGAUGAGUUGCGAACGGGUGAGUAACGCGUAGGUAACCUGCCUGGUAGCGGGGGAUAACUAUUGGAAACGAUAGCUAAUACCGCAUAAUAUUGACAAUUGCAUGAUAGUCAGUUGAAAGGUGCAACUGCACCACUACCAGAUGGACCUGCGUUGUAUUAGCUAGUUGGUGGGGUAACGGCUCACCAAGGCGACGAUACAUAGCCGACCUGAGAGGGUGAUCGGCCACACUGGGACUGAGACACGGCCCAGACUCCUACGGGAGGCAGCAGUAGGGAAUCUUCGGCAAUGGACGGAAGUCUGACCGAGCAACGCCGCGUGAGUGAAGAAGGUUUUCGGAUCGUAAAGCUCUGUUGUAAGAGAAGAACGAGUGUGAGAGUGGAAAGCUCACACUGUGACGGUAUCUUACCAGAAAGGGACGGCUAACUACGUG
rnacentral:rRNA from 1 species